ensembl:snRNA U5 U5 spliceosomal RNA
AUACUCUGGUUUCUCUUGAAAUCGAAUAUAUCUUUUGCCUUUUACUAAAGAUUUCUGUAGAGAGAAACAACUCUGAGUGUUCAACUCAGAGCCCUUGGCAGGGCUA